UGCGGAGGAUCAUUACCGAACUGUCAACACGAGUUGUUGCUGGCCCUCAAAUGGGGGUAUGUGCACGCU
rnacentral:rRNA from 1 species